rnacentral:rRNA from 1 species
UACGUAGGUGGCAAGCGUUGUCCGGAUUUAUUGGGUUUAAAGGGUGCGUAGGCGGUCUAUUAAGUCAGUGCUGAAAUAUCCCGGCUUAACCGGGAGGGUGGCAUUGAUACUGAUGGACUUGAGUAAAGUUGAGGUUGGCGGAAUUGACGGUGUAGCGGUGAAAUGCUUAGAUAUCGUCAAGAACACCUAUUGCGAAGGCAGCUAACUAGCUAAACUGACGCUGAGGCACGAAAGUGUGGGGAGUCAAACAGG